rnacentral:tRNA from 1 species
GCAGUAGUGGCUCAGUGGUAGAAUUCUCACCUUCCAUGUGGGAGACCUGGGUUUGAUUCCUGGCCAGUGCA